UACAGAGGGGGCAAGCGUUGUUCGGAAUUACUGGGCGUAAAGGGCUCGUAGGCGGCCAACUAAGUCAGACGUGAAAUCCCUCGGCUUAACCGGGGAACUGCGUCUGAUACUGGAUGGCUAGAGGUUGGGAGAGGGAUGCGGAAUUCCAGGUGUAGCGGCGAAAUGCGUAGAUAUCUGGAGGAACACCGGUGGCGAAGGCGGCUUCCUGGACCGACACUGACGCUGAGGCGCGAAAGCUAGGGGAGCAAACGGG
rnacentral:rRNA from 1 species